rnacentral:lncRNA from 1 species
CAGUGUUACCCACAGUCUACCAAGAAAACUAGUACUGAAUGAGGUAAGUGAUAUUUUUUUAAUUAAUAAAUAAUAAAUGAAUUAUAAAACUGAUGGUCAAUUAUUCAGCAAUUCAUGUGUACAUGUACCUACAAUGUAUACAGUGAAAUUGUUUCAUUAAAGCAUCAUAUACAUUUAUCUUGAUAUUUAAAAAAAAUAACUGGUUUGUACAUUGUACAUGUUUGCAAUGAACUUAAAAGCAUGUUUGGAAUUUUGUAAUGCAAAAUAUUGUACAUCCACCCUUGGAUUUCAAGCAUCACUUGAUUUUUUCAACAUAAACAUCAAAUUUGGAGAUUGCAUGUAUAUUAUAUGUUAUUCAGGCCUCAGACAGGGUAUAUACUGUGACAUUCCCGGCUUAGAGUUUAUAUCCCCUGAGCCGAAGUAUAUACCCUUUCUGAGACCUGAAUUACACAUAUAUUACGGAUUACCCCUGACUUAAUGUUAUUUUCUAGUGCAGGUAUUUGUUGACAACACAUAUAUAUAAAAAAAAACAAAAAAACUGAUAUGUUCGUCAUACAUGAAGGAUUUUCUAAUUUGCUGUGAACAUAAUUUUAUCGUGUAUGUAAUAAUUUAUAACACUUUUAACAUUAAAUUUAAGUAUUAAAAGCGUAAAAUCAUGAUUUUGUUUCAAACAUGUAUUAUUGACUGAAGCACGUUAUUAUUUUCCCUCUGUGAGCCUCUGACAGUCUGAUAGCUUUUGACUACGUAACAUAGUAACCAGUGUAAUGAUGACUUUUUUGAGGUUACAAUUGGGGAUAAAAACGUCGUAUAUACCCCGGCAGUUUCCUGAAUAUAUACUGACAUCUCUGUGUUGUUAUCCAAUCACAAACCUCGACACAUUUGUAAUCCGUAAUAUACAUGUAUGUAUGAGAUCGAGAGCAGUUGAUAAAUUUCUUCAGUUUUCAUUAGGUAACAUCUUUGCUAACCAAGGUUUGUGAUCUACGUUUAUACUCCUCUUUACAUUUGAACAAGCUAUAUUUGUUUUCCCAUUCAUGAGUACUUUCAUAUAUUUUAAAGGGGAGUUACAUAAUUACAUUAUGCACUGACUUUAUUCUUUUAUAUUAGGAAAUUCUGUCUUUUAUUUCAGGUUUCACACACACAAUGGUGGUUCAUGUGAGAGGAAGAAGUGAUUUGUGUGAGAAAGUUCUUGUUUGUCUUUAUCUACAAAUGAUGUACACUUUACAGUAUACAGAACAUUGAGGGAUUGAUUGAACAAAGCUUAACAGAACAAGAACAAGAAUUAAAUGAAUAAAUUCUUAUAGAUACAAAGAAAGAAGCAAAUAUUAUAAAAAAAAAAUAUGGAGCAGAAAGUUUACUU